GGGCUGUUAGCUCAGUUGGUUCAGAGCACUACCUCGACAAGGUAGGGGUCACUGGUUCGAGCCCGGUACAGCCCACCA
rnacentral:tRNA from 1 species